rnacentral:rRNA from 1 species
UACGUAGGGUGCAAGCGUUAAUCGGAAUUACUGGGCGUAAAGCGCGCGUAGGCGGUUUGUUAAGUCAGCUGUGAAAGCCCCGGGCUCAACCUGGGAACUGCAGUUGAUACUGGCCGACUGGAGUGCGAGAGAGGGAGGUAGAAUUCCAUGUGUAGCGGUGAAAUGCGUAGAUAUAUGGAGGAAUACCGGUGGCGAAGGCGGCCUCCUGGCUCGACACUGACGCUGAGAUGCGAAAGCGUGGGGAUCAAACAGG